rnacentral:rRNA from 1 species
GAUGAACGCUGGCGGCGUGCUUAACACAUGCAAGUCGAACGAUGAAGGGGUGCUUGCACCUUGGAUUAGUGGCGAACGGGUGAGUAACACGUGAGCAACCUGCCCCUGACUCUGGGAUAAGCGCUGGAAACGGCGUCUAAUACUGGAUACGAGCAACGGCCGCAUGGCCAGUUGUUGGAAAGAUUUUUUGGUUGGGGAUGGGCUCGCGGCCUAUCAGCUUGUUGGUGAGGUAAUGGCUCACCAAGGCGUCGACGGGUAGCCGGCCUGAGAGGGUGACCGGCCACACUGGGACUGAGACACGGCCCAGACUCCUACGGGAGGCAGCAGUGGGGAAUAUUGCACAAUGGGCGGAAGCCUGAUGCAGCAACGCCGCGUGAGGGAUGACGGCCUUCGGGUUGUAAACCUCUUUUAGCAGGGAAGAAGCGUGAGUGACGGUACCUGCAGAAAAAGCGCCGGCUAACUAC